rnacentral:rRNA from 1 species
UACGAAGGGUGCAAGCGUUACUCGAAAUUACUGGGCGUAAAGCGUGCGUAGGUGGUUUGUUAAGUCUGUUGUGAAAGCCCCGGGCUCAACCUGGGAAUGGCAAUGGAUACUGGCAGGCUAGAGUGCGGUAGAGGGUAGUGGAAUUCCACGUGUAGCAGUGAAAUGCGUAGAUAUCGAGGAGGAACACCUGGUGGCGAAAGCCGGCUCACUGGACCAUGAACUGACGC